GACCGUUAAACCCGAAAGGGAGAGAGCCGACCACGGUAGGGUCAGCGACUGGGGUG
rnacentral:rRNA from 1 species